GACGUAGGUGGCGAACGUUAUCCGGAUUUAUUGGGCGUAAAGAGCUCGUAGGCUGUUCGAUAAGUCGGGUGUGAAACCUCCAGGCUCAACCUGGAGACGCCACCCGAUACUGUCAUGACUAGAGUCCGGUAGGGGAGCGUGGAAUUCCUGGUGUAGCGGUGAAAUGCGCAGAUAUCAGGAGGAACACCAGCGGCGAAGGCGGCGCUCUGGGCCGGUACUGACGCUGAGGAGCGAAAGCGUGGGUAGCAAACAGG
rnacentral:rRNA from 1 species